AUUUAUCCCAGAAUGAUCCUGAACAUCAUCACUGUAACUUAUUAAAAAUAUGAGUUAAUGUUCUUUAGACGAAAAGCAAAAAAAAAAACCUGUAGUGUUUAGUUCAAUGGAUGGCUUUGACCUAAAAUGCAUCCAAGUGUUAAAAGUUGAUGGGAUUUUAGCUUGCUUGGUUGUUUGACAGCAUGGCAAUAAUGUUGAAUCGUUUCCAUCUAAAAGUCAUCCUGACCUUAAAUCUCUUCUUCAGGGCAGCGCGCUUGUGCUGAAUGAAUCGUCUGGUUUUAUUAUCUGUUUCUAUUUUCAGUGGUUGCUUGUUCUGUACCUGCCUUUUUUCAUGGAGUUCUUAUCACGCUUCUCUUUCUUCUCUUCCAGGAGCAGGGCAUGGUCGGGUUGCCACGCCAGGCCGCAGGCAUCCAACCCCCUCACGGAGGUCCGGGAGCUGUGCCCUCGGCCGGACCUAACGGGGCGGGGCCAGGUGGUUACCUGGGCAACCAGCAGCAGCAGCAAGCAGCCAUGAUGAAGCAGAUGAUGGCUAUGGAGCAGGAGAAGAGAGUUCAGCUUCAUCUGAUGGAGCAGCAGAAAGUUCAGCUCCUGCGGGAACAGAGACAGCAGCACCACCACUUACUGGCGGAGCAGUUACAGCAGCAGCAGCAGCAGCAGCAGCAUCUCCCAAGGCAGAUGAGUCAAGCACAGAGAAACCCGUAUCCUCUCCAACAGUUUCAGGAAAAGCCCAGGGUGAGUACAAAUUGGUUACCCUUUUCACUACAUGUGCUCACUACAUAGGGCAUAACAUAAUGGCACUGUACAAUCUACAGUAUUUAGUGUAUUAUAAGUCCAAUAGAAUACUAUUUGGGGAAAAACAGAGAGACUACGGUUAUGUGUCGAUUGGAAAUUAACUACUUUCAUGUAAUAUCACUAUUAGGACACAUGCUGUUUAGUCUGAACAGAAUAAUAUAGAAUAAAGCACAGCAUAUUUCAAAUAUAUAUUUUACUCUGCACCUUUUCACUGCAUCAAAGGACAAAGGUAAUUUAGCCAGUGCUUUUUGACUGAAAGGAGAACAUGACAUAGGGAAGUUUGUUCUGUUGGCUCCUGUGUGUGUUCCAUUGCUCUCUUCAUUGCAGAGUUCCUUUGUUUAUUUCACUCUUCUCACAGCAAAUCAUUCACUCUUUUAGUUUCCAAAUUACUACUUUGUCAAGUGCACCGACUGCUCCUGCCUCCUCCUGAGCUAAUGAGAGAGCACAAAUACUCGCGCACACUCUGUCACACUUCUACUCCCUUAACACGUAGACAAGCACUCAUGCACAUUUACGCAUGUGAGCAUAUACAGAAGCAAACACAUCAGGAAAACUGUAUGAAAUGUAAAGCACAUCCCCCGCCCCAAACCCAUACACACAAACACAUACAUACCCUGAAGGGAAGUGUGUCUAUUGAUUGUUCUGUCACGUUGCCAUGGAAACCAUGUUAGAUGUAGAUCCGGUGGGAAAUACCCUCUUAGUCAGAGCCAUCAGUGGGAAUGGGACUUGGGGAUUGUGUGUGUGUGUCUGUCACACAUUAGACAUUUUCAGGUUUAUUGAACGAUGCACAAUGUUGAAGUCAGCUGCAAAUGAGCAUCUCUGUCCAGUCCUUACACCGUAAUCAGGAUAGGCUUUAGAGUAAAGCCACACUGACGUCACUGUCUAAAAUCUGGACAACAUUGUUAUACACUACAGGAGUAAUCAGGCCUACACACUGUUGAUAUAGUUUUGGACCACGUCUUCACUUAAGAGAGUUUUUGGGGUGUGUAUAUGUCCAUCUGAGACAGUAUGGUUACAGUGCAUCUUGACAUGUGAGCAACACUCUGAUGUACGAAACACACUAGACAACAGCCUUUUGAUUUUGGUUUGGUGUAGUGUGAUUUAUUUUUGUGCAAAGAGUUCAAUUUUAGUACUAAAAAAGUGUUAGAUUUAAGGAAUGAGAGGUCACGCCUCAUUCAAUAGGACUGCCAGGUACAGAGGCCACAGCCCCUUUACUGGGACUGAUGAGUACAGAGCCCACACCUCCUUCAGUGGGAUGGACAGGGCACAAAGCCCAUGCCCUUUCACUGAGACUGACAGGCACAGAGCCCACGCCUCUUCACUGGGACUGACAGGCACAGAGCCCACGCCUCUUCACUGGGACUGACAGGCACAGAACCCAUGCCCCUUCAAUGGGACUGACAGGCACAGAGCUCAUGUCCCAUCACUGGAACUGACAGGCACAGAGCCCACGCCUCGUUCACUGGGACUGAGGGGUACAGAGCCCAAGCCUCCUUCACUUGGACUGAGGGGUACAGAGCCCACGCCUCCUUCACUGGGACUGUGGGGUACAGAGCCCAUGCCUCCUUCACUGGGACUGAGGGGUACAGAGCCCACGCAUCCUUCACUGGGACUGAGGGGUACAGAGCCCACGCAUCCUUCACUGGGACUGACAGACACAGAGCCCAUGUCUCUACACUGAGACUGACAGGCACAGAGCCCAUGUCUCUUCACUGGGACUGACAGGCACAGAACCCAUGUCUCUUCACUGGGACUGACAGACACAGAGCCCAUGUCUCUUCACUGGGACUGACAGACACAGAGACCAUGUCUCUUCACUGGGACUGACAGACACAGAGCCCAUGUCUCUUCACUGGGACUGACAGACACAGAGACCAUGUCUCUUCACUGGGACUGACAGGCACAGAGCCCAUGUCUCUUCACUGGGACUGACAGACACAGAGCCCAUGUCUCUUCACUGGGACUGACAGGCACAGAACCCAUGCCCCUUCAAUGGGACUGACAGGCACAGAACCCAUGCCCCUUCAAUGGGACUGACAGGCACAGAGCUCAUGUCCCAUCACUGGAACUGACAGGCACAGAACCCACGCCUCGUUCACUUGGACUGAGGGGUACAGAGCCCACGCCUCCUUCACUGGGACUGAGGGGUACAGAGCCCACGCCUCCUUCACUGGGACUGAGGGGUACAGAGCCCACGCAUCCUUCACUGGGACUGACAGACACAGAGCCCAUGUCUCUUCACUGAGACUGACAGGCACAGAGCCCAUGUCUCUUCACUGGGACUGACAGGCACAGAACCCAUGCCCCUUCAAUGGGACUGACAGACACAGAGCCCAUGUCUCUUCACCAGGACUGACAGGCACAGAGGCCGCAGCCCCUUCACUGGGACUGACAGGCACAGAGCCCAUGCCCCGUCAUUGGGACUGAAGGGCACAGAGCCCAUGCCUUAUCACUGGGACUGAUAGGUACAGUGCCCAUGCCACGUCAAUGGGACUGACAGGACACAGAGCCUAUGCCUCCUUCACUGGGACUGUGGGGUACAGAGCCCUUGCAUCCUUCACUGGGACUGACAGGCACAGAGCCCAUGUCUCUUCACUAGGACUGACAGGCACAGAGCCCAUGCACCUUUACUGGGACUGACAGAUAAAGAGACUAACUGAAACUAACCAGUACAAAGACCCCACCACAUUCACUGAGACUGACGCUUACAGAGACCACACCUCUUUUAUUGGAACAUUGGCCGGUUUGGUCAGGAUUCUAGAACAUUUGCCAGUUUAGUAACUAUUCAUAAUUAAAGCAUAAUCUCCUCCGUUGUAUAAAGUAAUUAAUACAAGCAAAAGACUCAACAGUUUCAAUAUGUUUGAUUGGUUUACAUCAUUUUAUGCCGUCUUGAGUUGAAUCCACUAAACAUCUUCUACAACUGAGUUAGCCCCAGAGUAGACGUACAACUACGCAAUUUUAACCUGUUAAAUUCUUAAGACCUUGGUCCUGACAUUCCACACUCCCAUGAAUACAUUCCUGUUUUCAUUGUAGUUCCUGAAUAAUACACUUCAAGACGAUUAAGUGAAUAAGCUGAUAUUUAAAGGGGUAAAGCAAAAUGGUUCACCAAAACUGGUGAAACCCAAC
ensembl:lncRNA